GGGUCAGUAGGUUGGUCGUGCCACCGGUACGUACUGGUCUCACUGAUUCCUCCUUCCUGAAGAACCGUAAUGCCAUUAAUUUGGUGUUGCGGGGAAACAGGACUGUUACUUUGAAAAAAUUAGAGUGUUUAAAGCAAACUAACGCUUGAAUACAUUAGCAUGGAAUAAUGAAAUAGGACGAUCGAUCCUAUUUUGUUGGUUUCUAGGAUUGACGUU
rnacentral:rRNA from 1 species